AAUGAACGCUGGCGGCAUGCCUAAUACAUGCAAGUCGAGCGAGCGGCGGACGGGUGAGUAAUGUCUGGGAAACUGCCUGAUGGAGGGGGAUAACUACUGGAAACGGUAGCUAAUACCGCAUACCAUCAGAUGUGCCCAGAUGGGAGUAGCUAGUAGGUGGGGUAAUGGCUCACCUAGGCGACGAUCCCUAGCUGGUCUGAGAGGAUGACCAGCCACACUGGAACUGAGACACGGUCCAGACUCCUACGGGAGGCAGCAGUGGGGAAUAUUGCACGAUGGGCGCAAGCCUGAUGCAGCCAUGCCGCGUGUGUGAAGAAGGCCUUCGGGUUGUAAAGCACUUUCAGCGAGUAGGCGUUACUCGCAGAAGAAGCACCGGCUAACUCCGUGCCAGCAGCCGCGGUAAUUC
rnacentral:rRNA from 1 species